UGUGGCUCAAAAGGGAUAGAACUUGAAAAGCUGAUAAUCUGACCCUACAAUCCAGCACAAGUAGAUGAGCAAGGGAAGGGAAAUUGGCUAAGAAAGCCAAGGUCACAUCUUGGGGUGCUCUCAGGGAGCUCCAUUAAAAUACCUGGGAACUACAUGAGAUAGAAGAAAAGGCCAAACCUAAACAAAGGUAUAGAUCUGAGAGAGAAUUGGAAUGGCAGAAGGACUAAAUUAACAGAAGGCUUUGCACCAGCCAACAGAGAUGCUGUCAUGCAGAGACAGGAAGCGUGUUCUUACAGCAGUUACCUGUCAGGUUGAAGGUUAUUGAAAACCAGCAAGUCAAGAGUGAACAAGUGGCAUGGGGCUCUGUAGGACCAUGGAUAGAGAAAGUGGACAUUCCUG
rnacentral:lncRNA from 1 species